CACCGCGGUUAUACGAGAGGCCUGAGUUGACAGACACCGGCGUAAAGAGUGGUUAGGGAACUCAUAAACUAAAGCCGAAUAUCCUCAAAGCUGUCAUACGCUACGAGGACAAGAAGCCCCACUACGAAAGUGGCUUUAACUCUCCUGACCCCACGAAAGCUGAGGGA
rnacentral:rRNA from 1 species